rnacentral:rRNA from 1 species
UACAGAGGAGCCAAGCGUUGUCCGGAUUGACUGGGCGUAAAGCGCACGCAGGCGGCUGCGCGCGUGGGGUGUGAAAUCUGGCCGCUUAACGGCCAGGCGCCAUCCCAUACGGCGCGUCUGGAGUGAUGCAGAGGUCGGUGGAAUUGCCGGUGUAGUGGUGAAAUGCGUAGAGAUCGGCAGGAACACCCAGGGGGAAGCCAGCCGACUGGGCAUCUACUGACGCUGAGGUGCGAGAGCGUGGGGAGCGAACCGG